UCAUUUGCAUAGACAAACCCUUCCUCUCUCAGAGGAUGAAGAGGGGAAGGAGAGAUUAGGGGAGGUUCUGCUCAGCUGUAAGCCACAGAAGUCAGGAUCAAUGAUGGUCCUCACCAUGGCCUGGUGCCCUCUCCUUCUCGCCCUCCUUGCUCACUGCACAGGAUCCUGGGCCCAGUCUGUGCUUACUCAGCCGCCCUCUGUGUCCGGGGCCCUUGGCCAGAGUGUCACCAUCUCCUGCACUGGAAUCCCCACCAACACAGAUUAUGAUGGAGAGGAAUAUCAAUCUUAUGUGAACUGGUACCAACAGUUCCCAGGAAAGAGACCCAUUCUCCUCAUCUAUGGUGAUGAAAACAGAAACACUGGGGUCUCAGAUCGGUUCUCUGGUUCCAAGACAGAAAGCUCAGCCUCCCUGACCAUCACCAGCCUCCAGGCUGAGGACGAGGCUGAUUAUUACUGCCAGUCCACUGACGAUAGCCUCAGUAUUCACACAGUGCUCAGGCCUAUGGGGAAGUGA